CGGAGGGUGCAAGCGUUGUCCGGAUUUAUUGGGUUUAAAGGGUGCGUAGGCGGCUUUUUAAGUCAGUGGUGAAAUCCUUCAGCUUAACUGGAGAAUUGCCAUUGAUACUGGAAAGCUUGAGUACAGACGAGGUAGGCGGAAUUUAUGGUGUAGCGGUGAAAUGCUUAGAUACUAUAAAGAACACCGAUUGCGAAGGCAGCUUACUAGGCUGUAACUGACGCUGAGGCACGAAAGUGUGGGGAUCAAACAGGAUUAGAUACCCUGGUAGUCCACACUGUAAACGAUGAUUACUCGAUGUGUGCGAUAGACAGUACGCGUCCAAGCGAAAGCGUUAAGUAAUCCACCUGGGGAGUACGAUCGCAAGAUUG
rnacentral:rRNA from 1 species